GAAGACCGCGCUUUAGAAGCGCUCCAGUCCCUGCCGCUUCAAUCCAACGUCGCUUGCGAUUUCGGUGACGUUGCAGCUCUCUGUCCGCUACCAUCCAGCCCUGCAGCAAUGAAACGAUCUGGUGAUGAUCCUAGUGUCCUCCUUCGUCCACGCCAUGACGCCAUCCACUGCUGAAGCUGUUGCUACCAUCGCCUCAUUGGCAUCCUCAGCGAGUUCCUAGGCGACACCGGCAAGUUUCUGCUCAUGCCCGGUCAACUCCUGUCUCCAAUGAGAACUAGAUCUCGGCAAGUCCCCUCGGAAUGACAGCCCGCACCACUGCAUCUCCCGCCGGCCGAGCAACAACCAACAAUGCGUCUAGCACUUCCAGAGUAGCCCACCGUCGUUGUUCAGUUCAUCCCGGAAAGGCUCGGAUAGCAAAGGCUAUUUCUUCACCGCAACCAGCCUUUUUUUGCCCCUUGCUUACACUAAACCUCGUGGCUACGCUCCUUAACAUCUUGUCCUAUUAGUCUCAUAUGCCUCGGGCUAAUUUAGUCAAGGUGAGGAUGAGGUUUGUUUCAAUAAUUGAUGGUCCCAAUACGUGAUUUAAGUACAUGUUUUUUAGUCGAUGAAUGCUUAGGUCAAUAUGGUUUAAUUGUUUCCGUGCAUCAACAAAGACAUUCGGCUUUUGGACCUUUAGACACUAAGUUAUAAACCAAUCUUGCCUUGCAUGGAUUGCUAUGUUCGAGCAUGUUAUCAAUAUUGUGAUUAAUUCGUAUAUCAUUAUUGCACGUAACUAUAUUACGCAUGUAUAGAGUGCAUUAUAUUUAUAUUUAGAGUCUUAAAUAUUUAGUCUCAUUACAUAUAUAGGCUUGAGGACAUGUUAGCUUUGAAUCCUUAUAGAUUCAGGUUAUUGCAUAAUUUUCAUAAAAUAAAACAAAUAAAAAAUGUUAUUUAGUUUUCAUUUAGGUCACCUGUAGACCUAGGGUGAAUUAGUCUUAUGUCAUACAAGGGGCUUUCAGGCCUGAAAGCCCAUUAAGGAAAUGCUGGACCGUUUGGUUCAACUUUGAAGCCAGCUUUUAGCUUUCAAUUUGCCUUCAAAAUGUUGAAAGCCCAAACCUAGUAGGGACUAGCUUUGAGCUUUCAGCAUUCGGUGGAAUGCUGAAAUUAUUUUUUCCAUUCCAAAACUAUUCUCACUAAUUUUUCAUAUUUCCGAUUUUGCCCUAAUUUUUUUUUUUUUUUUUUUUUAUAAUUGAAAAAGGAGGCAACCCUUUCCUGGUCCGGCGAAGGGCUAUGGCUGUCGGCGAGCCAGAUCUGGCACCAAUGGCCAUCGACUGAGGUCGCCCUACUUCGGGCGACCUCCGACAAGGGUCGCGCGACCCAGCCGAGGACUGCCGGAGGUCGCCUGACCUCGGGCGACCCAGGUGACUGUCGCCCUACCUCGGGCGACCCAAGUGACCGUCGCUUAGGUCGAGCGGCCCUUGGGUCGAGCAACCCUCGCCGAGGGUUGCUCGAGGUCGGGCGACCUUCGGCGGCCCUUGACUGGGUCACGCAACCCUCGUCGAAGGUCCCUUGACCUCAGGCGACCUCAACCAACAACUGCUGGCGCCAUAUUUGGCUCGCCGGUGGUUGUAGCCUUCGCUGGACCGGCGAAGGAUUAGUUUAAUUUUCAAUAUAUGUAUAUAUAUAUUAUACCCAUCAAAGCCCUUUGCAAAAGUUUUUUUUUAACCAAACGCACAUUUAACUCAAAGUCCAUUUACAAAAUUCUUUUUAACAAACACAAUUACAUUUCUCCAAGUAGUUUUGGACUUUCAGCAUUUGCAUUGAACUCAAAGCCCAUUGCAAAUACUGAACCAAACGCAGCCUAAGUAUCAUAUAAAUAGUUUUAGUUAUCUUAGUGGCAUCAGUAAAAAAUGGAUAAUGACUAAGUGCAAAACAUUUUCAAAAUAAAGAGAAAAUGCACUGAAAUGGCACUAGAUAAAUCUAGCGUAACCAAGUCCUUGUACUCAUGAAUCUCUGGUUCACAGAAGUAAAUUGUACUCCCACAUUUUACUUGGGUGUCUAAUCAACCCAUAAUUGAUUAGUGGUGGCUCCAAUAGGUAAGUCUAAUCACAUGUCGUAUUGAGUACCAAGUUGCAAUUAGUAGGGCUCACAAGAUUCCGUGCUAAACGUUAAUGAUGGCCUCACAAGAGAAACCUUUGCUCCCAUUUAGUAAUCCAUUAGCUUUUCCCUCAGUGGUCCACUUAUGGGAAGGUUGCAACACAACUUACCUGAUUUUAUAUCUUCAAUCUCUUUUUGCGGGACUAGUGCUAUGGCCGAAGAGCAAUUUAGCCCCCAUCAUCCCACCAAAGUGGGAGACCAAAGACAGAACAAAACAGCAGUACGAGCCAAAGACUUCCGCGAAGAUUUCCAGAUCAGGUUUAUGCAACCUACCUGCUCAUAAUAUCAGGACAUACCCAAUGAAAGAGAAUAAUGAGGAAAAUGUAAGCAUGCUAUUACUUUCCUAUCUAUAUACUUUGAUUGCUAUGAUAUGUUCUAAUUUUGCAUGGACAGAAUGAGGGCAAGGUUAGCGAAAAGGGAAAAUGAAUAGAACAAAAAGAGAAAGCAUCAUUGGGCUGGCCACGGCAUUCAUACAAAUCUAAACUCUGGUAUCACAAUCCUAAGCAUAACAUUUGGCAUCAGAGAAAUGUUACUGACUGUACUACAUACGAUUCACUACGAAAUAUUAAUAUUAGUAGUGGCUUUUAUGCAUUUAGUUGUUUAUAUGCAUUGUAUUAAUGCCGGUCAUACGUGUGUAAUCAAUUAGCUGGGUUAUGUGAUGAACCUAUUAUUCAAUCAAGUUUUCUGUAACAGCUUGGAACUUCAAGCCAACAAGUGAUAUCAACACAUGGGGCAGAGUCAUCUCAACUGCACCAUGUGAGAGUGACGAGAACGACAGUAGAUAUGGCAUCUGGAACUGAAAGAAAGUGUAAAUGGAGCCGCUAGACGAGUCGCAUCAACUAGUGGCGGGUCAACUUCGUGAGUGGCAUCAAAGUAGCGUGGUUGUUAAGGAGCCCUUUCCAGAGGAUGGCCAACGUCGGAAAAGACAAAAGAUCAUUGCACAUUGUUUCAAAAACACUACAAGUGAGGAGAAUGGACCUACAGAAGCUGUUGACCUAUGCUGAGUUGUUUGCUUUGGUGGGUUUUGCUUUAUUGUGAGGACAUGUGAGGAGAUGGCAACUUUUAACGGCCUUUCUUGUCAGAAGCAAGUUUUUGGCAUCCUAAACAUGUAAGA
rnacentral:lncRNA from 1 species